rnacentral:tRNA from 1 species
GGCCAGGUGGCGAAGAGGCAACGCGGCGGUCUGCAAAACCGCUAUGCGAGGGUUCGAAUCCCUCCCUGGCCUCAA